AGAAUCAACGCUGGCGGCGUGCCUAACACAUGCAAGUCGAACGAGAAAGUGGAGCAAUCCAUGAGUAAAGUGGCGCACGGGUGAGUAACACGUGACUAACCUACCUUUUAGUGGGGGAUAACCUAGGGAAACCUGGGCUAAUACCGCAUAAUACCUACGGGUCAAAGCAGCAAUGCGCUGAAAGAGGGGGUCGCGGUCGAUUAGUUAGUUGGCAGGGUAAUGGCCUACCAAGACUGUGAUCGAUAUCCGGCCUGAGAGGGCGCACGGACACACUGGAACUGAAACACGGUCCAGACUCCUACGGGAGGCAGCAGUGGGAAUUUUGCGCAAUGGGGGAAACCCUGACGCAGCAACGCCGCGUGGAGGAUGAAGUCCCUUGGGACGUAAACUCCUUUCGAUCGGGACGAUAAUGACGGUACCGGAAGAAGAAGCCCGGCUAACUUCGUGCCAGCAGCCGC
rnacentral:rRNA from 1 species